GAGAGAGAGAGAGAGAGAGAGAAGAGAGUGGGGAGAGAGAGAGAGAGAGAGAGAUGGAGCAUAAUUAAGUGAAGGUGACUUGUGCCAUAGCCCCCCAUUCCUUUCUUUCCUGCCUCGAUGACAAGGAAUUGGUAAUGGUUGAUUUUAAAGUGGAACUCCAAAGAUCCAAUCUCCCUAAAAGCAGCGGCAGAAAGUAGAAUGGCCAUGUCCAAACUAGAGCUGAAUUUACCAAAUAAACUUUGAGUUCCAGUGGACACAUCACCACAUAUGAUUGGUAUUAUUGGCACAAGCAGACAUGUGCCAUUGGCUCUCAGUGACAGCCACCUCUCACGGCUGCUCCAGUCCAUUAACAGGAAGCUGAAAACACUGUUAUUCCUUGUCUAUAGGCUCUUCUCUCUGAUUAGCUCCUUUUAGAUAUUGAAAGGGGGAAAAUGAGGCUUGCUCUUUCUGCGUCCCAGUGAGAUCACUUAGGCAUUUAAUAAUGGAGAUUUCUUAUUACAAAAAAAAACCUUCUCAAAUGUAAUAUACUUCCAUUUGUUCUAUUAUGGAAAUUGUUUUUAAGUGAGUUUUCUUCUCUCAACUUUUUCCCCAUCCUCUUAAUUCGGGAAAGGAAAAUUGUAGCGAAAUGGGUUUUGGCUGGUGAUUUUCAUCCUUGGAGGGAUAUGAUUUUAUUUAAGGUGUCACCUUGCUAAAUUUCAUCCCACAGAGUUGAUCAUUCUUAUAUUUUUUCCUUAUAUCAAAAUCAGAGAUUUGCAUCGUCAAAUUGCCAUCCUUUGGCCUAUCGUUUAAGAGGUUUGUAAAUUCUGUUGAACGAAGAAUAUAAACAUCUUAACUGUGUUUUACACGAUUCAAAUGGUUCUUUGGACAGAGUCACUAAGCUCAGUGGAGUUGUUAGUGUUGUCGUUGUUAUUGUUGCCACUGCUGUUGUUCUGGGAGGUACCAGAUACAAAGCGCAUGGAAGAUCCUCAGAUGUAGAACAGGGUUUAGAGCACAGAGGCCCUGGCAUGGUUUUUUUAGGACACAUUAUAGCUUCAGGAGUCUCUGGCCCUGUGCCGUUCCUGUUGGCAUGCCUUGUAACAAACCAUUCUAGGAGGGCCUUGUGGGAGGGAUCAGUUGUUGCACAUGAAAAAAGGGCUUCUAGACAACGGGCUGGCACCAAGGCACAUUGAUGGUGAUCAGCAACUUGAGUUAGGAAAAGGAAUAGCUUUUGUAUCUCCUUUUUUUCCUUUCUCCUGCAUGCAAUUUUAAUUCCUGCUAUUUCCAGCCUCAUUUGUCUGUUGUCACCUGACUCUGUGUUUGGGGACACAGCUCUGAGUCUGGGAUGGCCCAUGACCUCUUGUGAGAGCAUCAAAGAACGGAUGAAAGAAGAUAAGGCCCCUCGUGGUCUCGGCUCUGCCCUUCCUUCAUUCCCUUUCCCAAACUAAAAGUAAACAUCCUACUUGCAGAGGCUUUGCAAAUACACCGUGUCAUCCAGGUAACAAGAGACUACCUCACAGUUUUCUCGCUUGGAUGAUAUAUUUUUUAAAAAAAAUAAAUAUCCUAUUUAUGUAGGUUUUUGAGAUUUUCUAUCUCAAGAGGCAUAUUUAAUUGGAAAUUGAUCUUUAAUGCCAUAGAAUGUUAAUGCACGGGGAUGUCACAGCUUCUUCGAUGUAGAUUACAGCAUUGUCGGCAUUAGCCACCUGACAUCCACUUCUUAGGAGAACAAUUGAAAAUAUCAGUGUUAACAUCAAUAAAGAUGACUUAUUAGCACAA